GUAAUUAUUUUAUUCCAUAACGUUACAGUUUUGAUGUUGUUUCAUGUCAGAUGAUCGUGUUAGAUUACAUGUGUUAGUAUCUGGUGUUUCUUUUUCUUCUUCACUUGUGUUUUUUUUUUUUGGAAAUUCUGUACAGAAGAUGUAUACUAGCGCCCUCUACCACAUAAUAAUGAAAACACGGAUCCUAGGAGCACAAGUAUAGCUCAAAUGUAUUUAGAUUUUGUAAGUAUAACUCAAGUAUACUUAAAUGUCAUUUUAAGUAUAUUUCUGAGAAGUACAUAAAAAGUAAACUAAAAGCAUACUUUACUAUUUUUUAGUUUAAAAGAAGCAUACUAAUAGCACACUUGAAUAAACUUCUUUUUCGUAAGGGAACAAAUGAUUAAAAAGUAAUUAUUAUUUAAUGAUUAAAGAACAUUUAAGCUGUUGACAGGUUAAAGCUUCUAUUAACUUUUACUGAAUUGUUGUUGUUUUUCUUUCUCUCUAGACGAUUGUCGCUCUUUGCUUUUACACGUUUCUGGGCUCACUGUGCACAGUCCUUCUGGCCCAGCAAUUGUUCGUCUGGGAUCUUCAGGGGUUCUGCCCUGUUAUGUUGACAGACGUUUAUUAGAGCAAAGACGGAGAGUUGAAUGGAGAAGAACAGACUCAGAGGCUCUGGUUCAUCUGUAUCAACAUGCUCUUUUUGCAAGUGUUUGGGAAAAACUUGUGAAUUAUGCUGAGUUUGACAGAUUCGUGAUAAUAGCCCUGUUUUUAAUAUUGUUUAUGUGCUGCAUUUGCAAAAUCAUUUACCUUGCAGUUACAGAGGUCGGAAAGAGAAGUGGACAGAUAAUUGAAAUAUUUGACUUAGUGGCUGAUACGAUCUUUGAUAUUCUGCCUGCUUUACAAUUCAUCCUCCUCUUCUUCACUUUUGCAUCUGUCAGAGGAGGAUUCAUCAUUGUUGUCAUUUUACCAGUGUUACUGAUGAUGACAAAUGACAGAUGUUUUUUCAGAUGGUUUGAUAGACUCAGGUGUUCAUUUUCAGUCAUAAGAACAGUGAUGUUAAUCAUCAUGAUAGCGAUUAUUGCAGCGAUGAUCGGACUUUACAUAAUGACACUUGGAAAUAAAACUGAUGCUGCUGGAUGGGGCUGUGUGAUUGUUUUUCUACAGAUACUCUGGAUGGUUAUGAAGUUUACAGGCUAUUAUGGCUUUAUUGCUCAGGAUUUUCCUCGUGUUGUUCCUGUCUAUGUGUUUGGAUCAGUUGGUGUUGUGUUACUGAACUCUGUUGCUCUGAUGACUGAACUGAUACUGAAAACAGUUAAUGGUGCUCGUACAGUGGGAGAUCUGAGGUCUGUUGUCUUUCCUUCUGAAUGCUUCUUUGCCUUAUCUGUGGUGAUUGCAGGAAUAUUUCCAUCUGAGGAAAGGCACAUGAGGACAAAGGUCAUCUACACAAGAGUUUAAUAGAAUCCAAGAAGAUAAUAAUCCAUGAAGGCAAAGGGAAUACGCAGCAAAACAACACCGGACAAGGAAGAUCUGAAAGGGAGCAAAUUAAAUAAAGACCAAACAAAGAUAAUUAACACAGGUGAACAGAAUGAACUAAUCAACACAUGAGGAAAAAACAGGUCAGGGGGGAAACAUGAGGGAAGAAAACAAACUAAAGUCCAUGAUCGUGACACUGGCAAAAUGGAAGUUGGUUUUAUUUACAGUACAUUUUCAUCUUUAUAUUGUAUGUUCUAAAUUAACAUGGCAUCCCAGAAGGUGCGACCUCGUGCCAUAACAGGAUGAAAGAAAGGAGCUAGGGAAGGGGUUUGGGAGGAGGACGAGGUGGAGGCAAAGGGCAGGUAGACUGACGGGCCACGGCGGAGAGGAAAGAGCUACAGUAGGAGCCAUGGGGGAGCCGCUGGGUCGACGGGCCGAGGCAGAGUCUGGGACUCAGAGGCUGGAGGCUGAGACAAGGGAUCCUCCAGCCACAAUGCCGAUGUAGGAUGGAGAUAGGCAGACCCACGGCGAACCCACCUCAGAGAUGGUGGGCUGAGGGUGAGCUGAGGGGCUGACAAGGGACAGAAGAGGCGGUGGUGAGGACUGAUGAAGAGGUGGUGGGAGAUGGAGGCUGGGAGGGACUUUUGAGCAGUCCAGGGGUUCAGGGAUGGUGUGUGCUGCCCACACAAACCAGAUGGCUACUCCCAGCACCAGGAGCGCCAGAGAUAGGGGAAUGACUUCCAUGGUCAUGAUGGGUCAAACAGACAAUUCAGGGUAGAUAGACAGUACGGGCACAACCUCAAUGGUCGUGAUGGGGCAGACAGACAGUUCAGGGCUAAUAGAAACAGCCUCCUUGGCCGUAACAGGACAGAUUUCAGAUGAUGUUGGGAAACUGGUUAGUUCUGAAUAAAAGUCUAUCAGAUCCCCUGAGUCCUGCCUCAGUUCACCCUCAGCGGUGGUACGGUGGGCGGGACUUUCCUCUGUGCCCUCGCUCUCCACUGUAUUGUCCCUCAUUGCCAGCUCUCGUACCUGGUCAGAUGAUCCGCGAGGCUCUGGCUCCGGGGCGAUCCUCAGCUCUGUCGCUCCUAUAGGCGAUGGCUCGUCAUUUGUGGAAAGCUCUGGCUCUCCGUCUGCGGUGGGCUCCGGCUGCUGCUCCGCGCAGUGAGGUGACGGUUCCAGGACCAUCUCCGGACAACUGCGCUCUACACACCAUGUAGAUGCUCACGAUGUAGAACAUGCAGAGCGCAUCAUCCGGGUAUCUGGUGAGGUUGGAGAUCUCCAGGAAAGGUCUGGUGUGGUCCUCAAGGGCAAGCUCCCCCUGCUCCAGCAGGAGGAGGAGAAAUUUGGGGCGAUCCAUAAGAAACCAAUAGAAACAUUGUGAUGAGUGAUAAUGCAUGACACCUGAAGGAAUAAAGGAGGAGUGACGACAAGUGCAAGACGAGAGAGUACCAGGCCUGGACUUUAUGUUGUUUUGUUUCUGUUUGUUAUUUUAAGUUUCGUGUUUAUUUUAUUAUUAAAAUUAUGUUUAAAUGUUCGCCGGUUCCUGCCUCCUUCUUCCCGAACUAUGAAUUGUGUUACAAACACUUACAAAAA
rnacentral:lncRNA from 1 species